rnacentral:rRNA from 1 species
UACGUAGGGUGCGAGCGUUGUCCGGAAUUACUGGGCGUAAAGAGCUCGUAGGUGGUUUGUCGCGUUGUUCGUGAAAACUCACAGCUCAACUGUGGGCGUGCGGGCGAUACGGGCAGACUGGAGUACUGCAGGGGAGACUGGAAUUCCUGGUGUAGCGGUGAAAUGCGCAGAUAUCGGGAGGAACACCGGUGGCGAAGGCGGCGAUCUGGGUCGAUACUGACGCUGAGGUGCGAAAGCGUGGGGAGCAAACAGG